AUAUUUUAAAAAGAAUAUUAUUUGUUUACAAAAAAACCCUUGACAUACAAUAACUUUGUAUAUUUACUUUGCAAAGCUUUAUUAUUCUUUUUUUUUUUUUAAAAAAAACCAACAAUAUAACUAUAGUAAUAACUUAUUUUGGAAUUUUAAGAUUUAAUCAUUCACUUACAAAAAAAACAAUUUGUUAUCUUUUCUUUAUUUUUCUGUUGUUCGCACUUUGUGGUGUUCUUAAGUCAGCGGGGAUACGUGUAACUUUUGAAUGGGACAAUUGCAUCGUUGUUAACAUAAAAUUGUGUUCUGUAAAGUGUUAAAUUUAAGAUUUUUUUUUAAUUUGUGAUACAUUCCAUUUACAAAAUUAAAGCUAUAUGCAACCAUGCAAUUUGUUUCGGGCUUUGACAAAUAAGUAUUUUCUAAGUUAAUGGAGUAUUUUUUAAUGAUUAAAAUUAUUUAGAGGAAUAUUAUCAUAUUGAAAAUUGAAAAGAAAUAACUCAUAUUGAAUAAAGUAAAAAAAAUUUAAAAAACAUUUAAAAGAAUUUAAGGGCAUUUUUGUCUUUCUUAAUAUUUAUCCAUGGAUUAUAAUCCAUGAAUUACUCAUCCAACCAAAUUGGAUGUAUUAGUUAUACUCCCUAUAAUACCAUAUAAGGUACAUUGCUCCUUAUUUACUACCAAACAUUGUAUUAAUUUAUCCCACAUUUUAGUACAUGAAUUAGAAAAAAUAAACCCUCCUACCAUACGACUCCUAAAUCAUUUUCGUGCCUUUGCAAAAAUGAGCCGCACCUUUUCACUCCCUUCUCUCUUCUGUCUCUCUAAGGUUAACCACAAGCGAACACCACGCUCUGGUGAGCCGUGUCGCCGGCAAGUCCGCUGCCCCUCAUUUCUUCCUCUUCUCGUUCCCUCCAUCGCGCCACCAGCCGCCGCUGCACAAUAGUCAUGCAGCCGGCGAGCAAACCAGUGCCAUCGCCGCCGCCGCCUCUCAUCAUCUCCUCUAUCUGCUACCAGCACCGGCAACCAGCCCAACGAUCAGCCGGCGAGAAAUGCAUUCAGUUAAGCCCAACGAUCCUUUUUGGGUGCUAUUGAGAAGGGUACAAGGACAUGCAUGGAGGACUCAAUUUUAAAUUACAAUAGAGCAAAACCAUGUUUGGAAGAUUGCUUGGGACUUGUGUUGAUGCCUACCAAAGGGUUCCAAGAGGUUUCACAUUUUGAAGCUUGAAGAAGAAGGGACCCACGAAGCAUUAGUGGGGUGGCCUUGGAGUGUAAACACUCAUUAAGGGUGUUUUAGUCUUUUUAUGCCAUUUCUUUACACUCCAUAGGAGCCCUUUUUCAUUUACGGUAUUUUGAUAUUUUAUGUAAUAAGCUAUAAAUAGACUCUUUAGGCUUAUUUUCUCAUUAGUUGAUUAUUGAUAUUUGAAAGACUUCUUCUUCUCUCUUUGAGAGUGUAGUGUAGGGCUUUGAAAAGCCAAGUAGAGUAGGGCUUGGAAAAGCCAUUAUUGAUCUUUGCUUAGAAACGGUGGUUGUAAGGCGGAGUUGAUUCCCUUAGUGGUCACCGUAAGAAUUUGGUGUUGUAAUUGCGGAUCUUAAGGUUCUUAUCAUUUGAUACACGAUUUGGUUCAUUUUCUCGUAA